rnacentral:misc_RNA from 1 species
GUGAAUCAUCGAAUUUUUGAACGCAAAUUGCACUCUCUGGUAUUCCGGGGAGUAUGCCUGUUUGAGGGUCAGUUUAAAUAAAAAUCGGUGUGGUUGCUGCUUUUCGUGGUGACGCACCGGAUUUGGGUCGUCGUGCCUUCGGUUAAGUGACCUAGAAUUUUGCAUGAUUUGUUUGUAACGUAUUGAAAGGAUUUUACGUACGUUUUCGAUAUAGAAUACUAUGUUUUGUCAUCCUCAUUAU